GGGAGGCAGAGCUUGCAGUGAGCCAAGAUUGCACCACUACACUCCAGCCUGGGCAGCAGAGUGAGACUUCGUCUCAAAAAUAAAUAAAUACAUACAUAAAAAUAAUCAUAGGCCCGACAGUGGCUGAGUCGAGCCAUGAGCCGAUGCGUUUUGGAGCCUCGGCCCCCGGGGAAGCGGUGGAUGGUGGCUGGCCUGGGGAAUCCCGGACUGCCCGGCACGCGACACAGCGUAGGCAUGGCGGUGCUGGAGCAGCUGGCGCGGCGGCUGGGUGUGGCGGAGAGUUGGACGCGCGACCGGCACUGUGCCGCCGACCUCGCCCUGGCCCCGCUGGGGGAUGCCCAACUGGUCCUGCUCUGGCCACGGCGGCUUAUGAACGCCAACGGGCGCAGCGUGGCCCGGGCUGCGGAGCUGUUUGGGCUGACUGCCGAGGAAGUCUACCUGGUGCAUGAUGAGCUGGACAAGCCCCUGGGGAGACUGGCUCUGAAGCUGGGGGGCAGUGCCAGGGGCCACAAUGGAGUCCGUUCCUGCAUUAGCUGCCUCAACUCCAAUGCAAUGCCAAGGCUGCGGGUGGGCAUCGGGCGCCCGACACACCCUGAGGCGGUACAGGCCCAUGUGCUGGGCUGCUUCUCCCCUGCUGAGCAGGAGCUGCUGCCUCUGUUGCUGGAUCGAGCCACCGACCUGAUCUUGGACCACAUUCGUGAGCGAAGCCAGGGGCCCUCAUUGGGGCCGUGACACCAGUGGCCAUGGCUGCCCGCCUGACUGUAGUACCCACCAACCCAGCCAGGGCCACAGAGCUGCCAUGCCAGCCUUGGUAUCUACUUUUUAUACAACUGUCCUGUAGACUGUUGCAGGCUGCCUGCGGAUUAAAGUGGGGGUGACUGUGACUGGAAAAAAAAAAAAAAAAAAAA